UGGAACCCUGUGUUGUUACAUAUACUUCGUUGGUCAAUGCAAUGUGUAAAGCAGGGAAGCUGAGGAGAGCAACUAAGAUUGUCAGCCGAACUAAGGAGGUCACUUUCACACGAGAUGGUUCUUGAAUGUUGCAUUCCUGAUCAUGAAGCAGACAAAGGAGAGUGGAAUUUGGCUUCCUUUUGCGAGCUACAAUCCUCUAAUUAAUGGGUAUUGUUUGCUGGGGAGGAUGGAUGUUCAUCGAGGAUUGUUCGAGACGAUGUGUUACGAACUAAAUGAAUGGCACGGUAGGAGUGGAGACAUUGAUCUGGCAUUCCAGUUGAAUCAGGAGAUGCUUGACAACUUAUUGAAAGUACUUGUGAAGUAAGAGACUGGACAGCACUUAUAAGCAUUCCCAGAAAAUGUUGAUUUUGAUCUACAUCUUGAUGACUUUACAUACACCACACACACACUGAUUGAUGGCUAAUGGAAUGUGGGGAAUGAAGAAGGCUUUCAUAGAGUGAGUCAGACAAAGGAAGUAAAACGAUUCCUGUUAGGAUGUUCUAUGAUGAGUUUUUUCCAGAUAGUAUCACAUAUGGCAUACUGAGGGAUUGAUGUGGCAAAGCGGAGUUCAAAAGUGUGUUCAUUCUUUAAAAGGAUUGAUAAAUGAAGCUUAUAAGGCAUUUGAUUCAACAGCGAAGAGGAGGUGGAUGCCUGAUGCUACUGCAUAUAAUGUUAUCAUCCAUGGACACUGUAGGGCAGGAAACUUGUUUGCAUAGAUGGUACAAGAUGGCUUUCUCCUCAGUGCAAUUACCAUUAUUAAGGGUAUCUCUCAAUUUGAUAAGGAUGAGGAACUGAAUUAAGUGAACCACAAGAACGUAGAUGUUGUAUUGAAUGUUCUGACUAACAUGGCAAAGGAUGGACGUCUGCCUAGUGACAGUGAACUAAAAGAAUCUACUCAUUAGAAUGGUUUUCUGGAAAUUCACCUUGCAAUGCUAAAAAAAAUCAUUUGUAUCAGCAAAGAUUGAUGACCAUGCUAUUCAUUUGGCACAAGAAAAUGAUUUCAGUUGAGCUAGAUUAUUCAACAGCAAUGUUCGGAGUCUGCUGCAUGGUUCAUUUUUUGUGGCAUCGAGCUACAAUACAAAAUCUAGAUCCAUGUCUAUCUGAUUUGAUGAGCAUCAAUGUUAUCUCGUUGCAUCCAUGAAGAAUAUCCUCGUGUAUACGUACCAAUUUUGGCGUAGGCUCUGCUUAACCUACAUGUGGGAGUAUCCUUGGCAUAUCAUCAUUCUCCCAUUUUGGCACCCUUCAUCUGUUGGUUGUCUGAUUGGCAAAUGGCAGUACAUGGCCAAUGCCACUUAAUUCUUUCUGAAAGAAAGAGUGUGACAAAUCUGACUUUGCAAGAGUUAGUAUUUAUUUAACUUCUACAGCAAUACUACAGGCUGAGAUGUGCAAAUCAUCAUGUUCUUUUACGUUCUUAGUAUCGUAUUUAUCACCUUUUAUCUGAUCCUGGUUAUCUAGUAUCCUUGACUUCAUGCACUUCCAUAGAGAAGGAUCCAAGUGAGUGCCACUUUAAUAUAAUGUUAAUACUGUACGAACACGAGUUAAAUUAUGGUGAGUUUCUAUGUACCUGCAGCAACUGGUUAAGUGCAAGGCUCAUCUCUGUUACAAUUUGAUAUCCCAUGUACUUAGUGCCGAUUCUCGUCACGAGAUAGUUCUGAUUUGGUUGAUAGAUUCUGUGCAGUUAAACAUAAAUAAAUGUUCAUGUUUUGUCACAAUCUUGACAGUUGUAUGAAGUGUUUGUUGCAAUGGUUCUGAGGAUGUAGAUUUGGGACCUGCCUCAUGUAUGUGAAGUUCUCUACUCUUUUGCUGGCCUCCUGCAUGUGGCCUGUACUAGUAUUUUGCUAGCUGGUUUCCUACAUGAAUGAUUAUAUUGAUGUGAAGUUCUCUAUUGUUUUUCUGGCCUCCUACAUGAAUUGGAUGUAGUAGAAUUUUGUUGAGCUGGUCUCUCUCUCUUCCCUGCAUGAUUCGAGUAUUCUGAGUUGCCACCUGACCUCAUGUUUGUGUUGUUCAGGUCUUCUAUUUUUCUUCUGAGCUUCUCUCUCUCUCAUUUCCCUACAUGAUUUAGUUAAUUUGGGACCUGACUUAAUGUAUCUGAAACAUUUUAUUGUUUUGCUGGCCCUUUACAUGAAUUAAAUAUGCUAUU